CCUACGGGUGGCAGCAGUGGGGAAUAUUGGACAAUGGGGGGAACCCUGAUCCGGCCAUGCCGCGUGUGUGAAGAAGGCCCUCGGGUUGUAAAGCACUUUCAGUGAGGAAGAACGCCUGGUGGUUAAUACCCAUCAGGAAAGACAUCACUCACAGAAGAAGCACCGGCUAACUCCGUGCCAGCAGCCGCGGUAAUACGGAGGGUGCGAGCGUUAAUCGGAAUUACUGGGCGUAAAGCGCGCGUAGGUGGCUUGAUAAGCCGGUUGUGAAAGCCCCGGGCUCAACCUGGGAACGGCAUCCGGAACUGUCAAGCUAGAGUGCAGGAGAGGAAGGUAGAAUUCCCGGUGUAGCGGUGAAAUGCGUAGAGAUCGGGAGGAAUACCAGUGGCGAAGGCGGCCUUCUGGACUGACACUGACACUGAGGUGCGAAAGCGUGGGUAGCAAACAGGAUUAGAUACCCUGGUAGUC
rnacentral:rRNA from 1 species